rnacentral:rRNA from 1 species
AAUAUAUCGUAACGUAUCCAAUAAUGGGGGAUAACUAAUCGAAAGGUUGGCUAAUACCGCAUACGCCNNNNNNGGGAAAGNNNNGGACCUUCGGGCCUGGCGUUAAUGGAGCGGCCGAUAUCCGAUUAGCUAGUUGGUGGGGUAAAGGCCCACCAAGGCGACGAUCAGUAGCUGGUCUGAGAGGACGACNAGCCACACUGGAGCUGAGACACGGUCCAGACUCCUACGGGAGGCAGCAGUGGGGAAUUUUGGACAAUGGGCGCAAGCCUGAUCCAGCCAUUCCGCGUGAGUGAAGAAGGCCUUCGGGUUGUAAAGCUCUUUCGCAAGGGAAGAAAGAUUUCUCUCUAACAUAGAGUGAUUAUGACGGUACCUUGAUAAGAAGCACCGGCUAACUACGUGCCAGCAGCCGCGGUAAUACGUAGGGUGCGAGCGUUAAUCGGAAUUGCUGGGCGUAAAGCGUGCGCAGGCGGUUUUGUAAGUCAGAUGUGAAAUCCCCGAGCUCAACUUGGGAACUGCGUUUGAAACUACAAGACUAGAAUAUGUCAGAGGGGGGUAGAAUUCCACGUGUAGCAGUGAAAUGCGUAGAGAUGUGGAGGAAUACCAAUGGCGAAGGCAGCCCCCUGGGAUAAUAUUGACGCUCAUGCACGAAAGCGUGGGGAGCAAACAGGAUUAGAUACCCUGGUAGUCCACGCCCUAAACGAUGUCUACUAGUUGUUGGUGGAGUAAAAUCCAUGAGUAACGCAGCUAACGCGUGAAGUA